rfam:Nitrospirae bacterium 13_1_40CM_2_62_10 13_1_40cm_2_scaffold_298, whole genome shotgun sequence.
GCUGGUGUGGCGAAAUCGGUAAACGCGGAGACCCCACAAAUCUCUGAGCGAAAGCUCUUGCGGGUUCGAAUCCCGCAACCAGCA